GUUGCCAACGGUUUGUCUUGAGACUUGACUUGAGAGAGGUCCUGAUGAGAGAGUGAGUCCUGAUUUAUGCUUCCUCCUGUCUGCCCAUUGCACUGUACUCGUAACAGAUCCUGGGUGUGAUAGCUGUUUCCUAACUCCACUCCACUGAUUUGGUGUAGACGGCACUGCUGAGCUUGCCUGUGAUUUGAAUGUGGCAGUGUAAAGGUUGCAGUUCAAAGACCUCAACUAGAGGCCAGUUGCUUAAACAUUACAGAUUAAAACAUCCCCAUUAUGGGCGCAGGCACCCAUAUCCUUGUCCAUAUAGUAGUUGUCCAUGUACAUCUAAGUCAUGGAAUGCGCUCAGGUCACAUUUGUGUAGAGUCCAUACUAGAGAAACAUCACGGCAAACAUUGACAUGGGCGACAUUCAGCUGUUGUGUUUGUGGGUUCUCUGAAGUUGCCUCUGAAAAGGAGUAUUUCACUCAUAUAAAUUUGCAUCUCAAAGCCAAUGAAACAGUCCCCUGUAUGUUCAAGGGUUGUACAUUUAGGACAAAUAUUUAUGGGACAUUUAAAUCACAUAGAAAUAGAAAGCACCUUGGUUAUUCUUACAGUGACUUUAAACCUGGAAUAGUUACAGAAAGAGACAGUUUUGAAAGCUCAAGUGUUUCAGGUGAACAUGGAGACAAUGAAGAAUCAGAAGAAGCCCAGCUUGAAGUGCAGUCUAGUUUUCAGAGAGACUGCUCAGAAAAUCUUGAGAAGAUGAUAGAAGAGAAACUUGCAGCAGUGUUGCUUAAGCUGGAAAACAUACUCCAUGUUCCCAGUAAUGCAGUUGAUGAGCUUUUACAUUAAUACUCUCCUCUGAUUCAGAAUCUCCUCGAUCACAUUGGCCCACAGAAUUCCA